AUUGAACGCUGGCGGCAGGCUUAACACAUGCAAGUCGAGCGAGCGGCGGACGGGUGAGUAAUGUCUGGGAAACUGCCUGAUGGAGGGGGAUAACUACUGGAAACGGUAGCUAAUACCGCAUACCCUCAGAUGUGCCCAGAUGGGAUUAGCUAGUAGGUGGGGUAAUGGCUCACCUAGGCGACGAUCGCUAGCUGGUCUGAGAGGAUGACCGGCCAAACUGGAACUGGGAAACGGUCCAGACUCCUACGGGAGGCAGCAGUGGGGAAUAUGGCACAAGGGGGGCAAGCCUGAUGCAGCCAUGCCGGGUGUGUGAAGAAGGCCUUCGGGUGGUAAAGCACGUUCAGCGAGGAGGCGUUACUCGCAGAAGAAGCACCGGCUAACUCCGUGCCAGCCGCCGCGGUAAUAC
rnacentral:rRNA from 1 species